CAACACUUGCUUCUUGUCUUCUAAAUUCUAAUUAUUCCAUAUUUCAAUUUCAAUCAAGAACUAUGCAGCAAGAUCUACCCAUGCAUCCUUCCACGUACGACUACGAGUCGCUAAAAAGUUCCUUAAUAAACAAGUUAAUGGAAGUAUUGUCAGAAAAUAAAAAGGAAAAUGGUUGGUGGAAGUAUAUAUUUGUAUUUUAUAUAUAAUUGGAGGAUGAAGAAGAGAGAUAGAUUUGUGAAUAGAGAAAGCAAUAUGGAUCAGAAAAGCUCACAAGUCUCAACUAUUCUAUUUGCUUUGCUUCUCCUCUCUUCUCUAUUUCUCAGCCAACCGCAAGCUUUCUCUGUUGAAUCAUUAACAUUACACCGAAAAAUCAUAGAGGGGAAAGAUGGGUUGAAACAGAUCGGAUUCCAAAAAAGGUUCAAACGAAGCCGAGCAGUUCGAGAAGAGGACCAUCGAAGGGUCAUCCUCCGGGUUCACCACGACUAUGACACACUUGCCUACUAUGUGCAUGCAUAUGCAUGAUUUGUAAGAGAUACAAACGUAGGUUAUGAUGUAUCUUUAUUUAUGAGGGUUGUAAUAAGUGAAAAGAAUAUAUGUAUGUAUUGGAUUCGAAUAGAUUAGAUCAUAGAAUAUGUUAUUCAUCAAAAUAUAUUUUAAACUUUUAUCUUUGUUAUUCAUCAAAUAUAUUUUAAACUUUUAUC